UUGACUUAUUGUAUAAGUUACUCAGAGAGGCCAGUGGUUACUAAGAGUUUCGGUCCUCUGACGGGUUGCCGGCCCCGGUUGGGGGGCCGGCGCGGCCCCGGAGAGGGCCACCCGCCGAAGCAACGGUGAGGUAGGUUCACAAUGGUUGGGAGUUUUGCAACUCUGUAAUGAUCCCUCCGCUGGUUCACCAACGGAGA
rnacentral:misc_RNA from 1 species